rnacentral:misc_RNA from 1 species
GAUGAAGAACGCAGCGAAAUGCGAUAAGUAAUGUGAAUUGCAGAAUUCAGUGAAUCAUCGAAUCUUUGAACGCACAUUGCGCCCGCCAGGAUUCUGGCGGGCAUGCCUGUCCGAGCGUCAUUUCAACCCUCGAACCCCUCCGGGGGGUCGGCGUUGGGGAUCGGCCCUCCCUUAGCGGGUGGCCGUCUCCGAAAUACAGUGGCGGUCUCGCCGCAGCCUCUCCUGCGCAGUAGUUUGCACACUCGCAUCGGGAGCGCGGCGCGUCCACAGCCGUUAAACACCCAACUUCUGAAAUGUUGACCUCGGAUCAGGUAGGAAUACCCGCUGAACUUAAGCAUAUCAAUAAGCGGAGGA